GUUAAACAGAAAUAAGGGAAAGGGGGGGCACCUGAUGAAGCAUGCAACUCUUGAUCUCAGGGUUAUAAAUCAGAGCCCCAUGUUGGGUGUACAGAUUACUUAAAAAUAAAAUCUUACAAAAGAUUUUAUUUUCUUUUAGGAAAGAAAAGAAAAAAGAAAAGAAAAAGAAGGGGAAGAGAGAUAGAAUGUAUGGGUUGAUAAUGAGGCCUUCUGAGUUUAUUAACCCAUGUCACCUAGUAACAAAAACAGUAACACUGUAACAAUGGGAAGGAAAUCCUGCUCUCAAUGAGAGAAGCUCUUACAUGUGGCUAGAAAGAACCACAAGGUUAUAAACACCCAUGACAGAGAAACUUUAGCAUGGACAGGAGCUAAAAACAUGAUGGCCAUCCACCACCUCAUUUUAACCUUCUGAAGGUCAUUACAACAGAUCUCCAUUCCUUGCUCUUCAGGAAAAAUCUCCUACUGGACACACCUAUGAAAACAGCCUUUGGGGUGCAUGGCUGGCUCAUGGUGACAGGUGCACUGAUGAUGCAUAGGCAAUGGUGGAUAAAACUGCUGGCACCUUAGUCUGAAUCAAGGCAGUGGCACCAAACUGUACUGCAGGUGACUAUUUUCUUCACCAACCAUGCAUCGACAGGAGAAAAAAAAAAGUCUGUUUCACUUCAGCGUAUCCUUGAUGAAGCAAAACAAUUGUUUUCAUGGAACACCAUUUGUACUUUGGCAUUUUCUCAGAAACGAAGUAAGCCUGGCAGGAAAACAACUGACACCAUUUGUUGCCAUUAAUAAAAUCCAAGCUUUUAAGCAAAAAGUUAGAGUUCUAGAAAACUUGUGUCCACCAUGCUUAGCUUAACAGCUUUCUGACACUUCAACACUGUUCUGAGAAGAAUAAGGUAUUUUUGACAUGGUAUAAUAAAAUGUGUCAACGUUUGGAAGACAUGCACAACUCAGUGAACCAAUAUUUUCCAGAUGACACAUAUGGUAUCACAAAAUCAUACAUGGGUAAAAGAUCCAUUCAGAGUGCAAGACGAUCAAUGGAUUUUAAUGUAACAGACUAAGAGAAGUACACUGACAUGGUUUCAAGUAUUACAUUGCAAUUCACCUUUAAGAAACUACCACUUAUUGGAAUUUGGUACAAUAUCAAAGAAGAGUAUUCACAUUCAUCCUAAGAGACUAUUAAAGUACUCCUCCUCUUUCUACCUACUCACAUUUCUCUGUGAGAUCAGCUUUUCUUCACAUAUCUAAAAGAGAACAACAAAUCACCACAGACUCAAUACAGAAGCAAACAUAAGAAUCCAGUGUAACAGGUGAGAGGAUUAAGAGGUACAAACUUCCAGUCUUAAAAUAAGAUGCAGAGACAAAAAGUACAGUGUAAGAAAUAUAGCCAAUAUCAUAAUAACAUCACAUGGUGACAGUGACUUAUCACAGUGAGCACUGAGUAAUGUACAUAUUGUAAAUCAAUAUGUUGUACAUCUGAAACUAAUAUAACACUAUGUGUUAAGUAUACUUAAAAAAAAAAAUCUGGCCAUCUUCUCUUAGAGGCCAGAUAUUAAGGAGAUUUGCAAAAAUGUAAAGCUAUGCCAUUCUUCUCAUUAACUUGUUUCCUUUGGAAAAUAUUUUUAAUAAAAAUGGUAUUCAUGCUAA